GGUAUCCUGUCUGAAUAUGGGGGGACCAUCCUCCAAGGCUAAAUACUCCUGACUGACCGAUAGUGAACCAGUACCGUGAGGGAAAGGCGAAAAGAACCCCGGCGAGGGGAGUGAAAAAGAACCUGAAACCGUGUACGUACAAGCAGUGGGAGCACAGAGCAAUCUGUGUGACUGCGUACCUUUUGUAUAAUGGGUCAGCGACUUAUAUUCUGUAGCAAGGUUAACCGAAUAGGGGAGCCGAAGGGAAACCGAGUCUUAACUGGGCGUUAAGUUGCAGGGUAUAGACCCGAAACCCGGUGAUCUAGCCAUGGGCAGGUUGAAGGUUGGGUAACACUAACUGGAGGACCGAACCGACUAAUGUUGAAAAAUUAGCGGAUGACUUGUGGCUGGGGGUGAAAGGCCAAUCAAACCGGGAGAUAGCUGGUUCUCCCCGAAAGCUAUUUAGGUAGCGCCUCGUGAAUUCAUCUCCGGGGGUAGAGCACUGUUUCGGCAAGGGGGUCAUCCCGACUUACCAACCCGAUGCAAACUGCGAAUACCGGAGAAUGUUAUCACGGGAGACACACGGCGGGUGCUAACGUCCGUCGUGAAGAGGGAAACAACCCAGACCGCCAGCUAAGGUCCCAAAGUCAUGGUUAAGUGGGAAACGAUGUGGGAAGGCCCAGACAGCCAGGAUGUUGGCUUAGAAGCAGCCAUCAUUUAAAGAAAGCGUAAUAGCUCACUGGUCGAGUCGGCCUGCGCGGAAGAUGUAACGGGGCUAAACCAUGCACCGAAGCUGCGGCAGCGACGCUGAUGCGUUGUUGGGUAGGGGAGCGUUCUGUAAGCCUGUGAAGGUGUGCUGUGAGGCAUGCUGGAGGUAUCAGAAGUGCGAAUGCUGACAUAAGUAACGAUAAAGCGGGUGAAAAGCCCGCUCGCCGGAAGACCAAGGGUUCCUGUCCAACGUUAAUCGGGGCAGGGUGAGUCGACCCCUAAGGCGAGGCCGAAAGGCGUAGUCGAUGGGAAACAGGUUAAUAUUCCUGUACUUGGUGUUACUGCGAAGGGGGGACGGAGAAGGCUAUGUUGGCCGGGCGACGGUUGUCCCGGUUUAAGCGUGUAGGCUGGUUUUCCAGGCAAAUCCGGAAAACUAAGGCUGAGGCGUGAUGACGAGGCACUACGGUGCUGAAGCAACAAAUGCCCUGCUUCCAGGAAAAGCCUCUAAGCAUCAGGUAACAUCAAAUCGUACCCCAAACCGACACAGGUGGUCAGGUAGAGAAUACCAAGGCGCUUGAGAGAACUCGGGUGAAGGAACUAGGCAAAAUGGUGCCGUAACUUCGGGAGAAGGCACGCUGAUAUGUAGGUGAAGUCCCUCGCGGAUGGAGCUGAAAUCAGUCGAAGAUACCAGCUGGCUGCAACUGUUUAUUAAAAACACAGCACUGUGCAAACACGAAAGUGGACGUAUACGGUGUGACGCCUGCCCGGUGCCGGAAGGUUAAUUGAUGGGGUCAGCGCAAGCGAAGCUCUUGAUCGAAGCCCCGGUAAACGGCGGCCGUAACUAUAACGGUCCUAAGGUAGCGAAAUUCCUUGUCGGGUAAGUUCCGACCUGCACGAAUGGCGUAAUGAUGGCCAGGCUGUCUCCACCCGAGACUCAGUGAAAUUGAACUCGCUGUGAAGAUGCAGUGUACCCGCGGCAAGACGGAAAGACCCCGUGAACCUUUACUAUAGCUUGACACUGAACAUUGAGCCUUGAUGUGUAGGAUAGGUGGGAGGCUUUGAAGUGUGGACGCCAGUCUGCAUGGAGCCGACCUUGAAAUACCACCCUUUAAUGUUUGAUGUUCUAACGUUGACCCGUAAUCCGGGUUGCGGACAGUGUCUGGUGGGUAGUUUGACUGGGGCGGUCUCCUCCUAAAGAGUAACGGAGGAGCACGAAGGUUGGCUAAUCCUGGUCGGACAUCAGGAGGUUAGUGCAAUGGCAUAAGCCAGCUUGACUGCGAGCGUGACGGCGCGAGCAGGUGCGAAAGCAGGUCAUAGUGAUCCGGUGGUUCUGAAUGGAAGGGCCAUCGCUCAACGGAUAAAAGGUACUCCGGGGAUAACAGGCUGAUACCGCCCAAGAGUUCAUAUCGACGGCGGUGUUUGGCACCUCGAUGUCGGCUCAUCACAUCCUGGGGCUGAAGUAGGUCCCAAGGGUAUGGCUGUUCGCCAUUUAAAGUGGUACGCGAGCUGGGUUUAGAACGUCGUGAGACAGUUCGGUCCCUAUCUGCCGUGGGCGCUGGAGAACUGAGGGGGGCUGCUCCUAGUACGAGAGGACCGGAGUGGACGCAUCACUGGUGUUCGGGUUGUCAUGCCAAUGGCACUGCCCGGUAGCUAAAUGCGGAAGAGAUAAGUGCUGAAAGCAUCUAAGCACGAAACUUGCCCCGAGAUGAGUUCUCCCUGACUCCUUGAGAGUCCUGAAGGAACGUUGAAGACGACGACGUUGAUAGGCCGGGUGUGUAAGCGCAGCGAUGCGUUGAGCUAACCGGUACUAAUGAACCGUGAGGCUUAACCUU
rnacentral:rRNA from 1 species